rnacentral:misc_RNA from 1 species
UCCGGUUUGUCACCGGCAGUCUCAUUAGAGUGCUCUUGCGUAGCAACUAAUGACAAGGGUUGCGCUCGUUGCGGGACUUAACCCAACAUCUCACGACACGAGCUGACGACAGCCAUGCAGCACCUGUGUGCAGAUUCUCUUUCGAGCACCCUCCAAUCUCUCGGAGGUUUCUGCCAUGUCAAGGGUAGGUAAGGUUUUUCGCGUUGCAUCGAAUUAAUCCACAUCAUCCACCGCUUGUGCGGGUCCCCGUCAAUUCCUUUGAGUUUUAAUCUUGCGACCGUACUCCCCAGGCGGUCUACUUCACGCGUUAGCUGCGUUACCAAGUCAAUUAAGACCCGACAACUAGUAGACAUCGUUUAGGGCGUGGACUAC